UACGUAGGGGGCAAGCGUUGUUCGGAAUUACUGGGCGUAAAGGGCGUGUAGGCGGUGCGGUAUGUUGGACGUGAAAUCCCCGGGCUCAACUCGGGGCGGUCGUCAAAACUGCCGUGCUAGAGUGUGGGAGAGGGAAGUGGAAUUCCCGGUGUAGCGGUGAAAUGCGUAGAUAUUGGGAAGAACACCGGUGGCGAAGGCGGCUCACUGGCCCGUAACUGACGCUCAUGCACGACAGCGUGGGGAUCAAACAGG
rnacentral:rRNA from 1 species